rnacentral:rRNA from 1 species
GAUGAACGCUGGCGGCGGGCCUAAUACAUGCAAGUCGAGCGAACAGACGAGGAGCUUGCUCCUCUGACGUUAGCGGCGGACGGGUGAGUAACACGUGGAUAACCGACCUAUAAGACUGGGGUAACUUCGGGAAACCUGAGCUAAUACCGGAUAAUAUAGUGAACCGCAUGGUUCAAUAGUGAAAGCCGUUUUUGCUGUCACUUAUAGGUGGAUCCGGGUCGCAUUAGCUAGUUGGUAAGGUAACGGCUUACCAAGGCAACGAUGCGUAGCUGACCUGAGAGGGUGAUCAGUCACACUGGAACUGAGACACGGUCCAGACUCCUACGGGAGGCAGCAGUAGGGAAUCUUCCGCAAUGGGCGAAAGCCUGACGGAGCAACGCCGCGUGAGUGAUGAAGGUCUUCGGAUCGUAAAACUCUGUUAGUAGGGAAGAACAAAUGUGUAAGUAACUAUGCACGUCUUGACGGUACCUAAUCAGAAAGCCACGGCUAACUACGUG